rnacentral:rRNA from 1 species
GGGCCCGCACAAGCGGAGGAGCAUGUGGUUUAAUUCGAUGAUACGCGAGGAACCUUACCCGGGCUUGAACGUAAGACGAAUGAUGUGGAAACAUAUCAGCCUACGGGCGUUUUGCGAGGUGCUGCAUGGUUGUCGUCAGCUCGUGCCGUGAGGUGUUAGGUUAAGUCCUGCAACGAGCGCAACCCUUACCCUUAGUUGCCAGCACGUUAUGGUGGGGACUCUAUGGGAACUGCCUACGCAAGUAGAGAGGAAGGUGGGGAUGACGUCAAAUCAGCACGGCCCUUAUGUUCGGGGCUACACACGUGCUACAAUGGUAUGUACAGAGGGCAGCCACUACGUGAGUAGGAGCCAAUCCUCAAAAGCAUAUCUCAGUUCGGAUUGGAGUCUGUAACUCGACUCUAUGAAGUUGGAUUCGCUAGUAAUCGCGCAUCAGCCAUGGCG